ensembl:lncRNA
UUGUUAGGUCACAGCUGGAACCACUGAUGGAGCACCUGGUGAAGGGGCGUAGCCAGCUCUGGGACACAGGUGGAAGCAAUCCCUCCUAAUCUCAUACAAUGGCUGGCAGCUGCAAAGGAAAAAAUCUCUACUUCGAGAUCGUCUCAUUUGGAGUGUUUGGUGGAUCUUGAUCCUUGGAAUGGGGUUGCGGGACUCUUCCCCCACUGCUGUACUACACAGGUGUUUCAACUUUGAGCAUUAGCAAUGUUGAACUCAUUCUGUCAGCAUCAACAAUUUCACUUCAGGAAACAACAGGAAGGAGUUUUCCAUUCAGUGGAGUAAGGAAAAGGUUUCACCUGGCGGCAGGUGCUGGAGAGAAACUGGAGGACUGCUGCAACUGGAGUUGGAGGUACAAUCACGCGCUCCUCCGUGUACGUGUUUACCCUGAAGGAAAGACCACCAUUUGAAAAUGCUCUGAAGAAUCAUUUUGCUGCUCUUUCAUUUCUGGUGGAGGCAUCUCCUUCUGACAUCUUCAUGAGAAAUCGUGGAUGCAUCUUCAUGGUGCCAAGGGCAUUCCAGCACUUUUUGUUUAAAAACAGCAUUACCUUCUGAAUCAAGUUCUUCUAUUUAUAUUUAUGCACAAGGGUAAUGGCAGCUUUGAUGUAUACGUCCUAAGCCUUCUUGUCUGAAGACAGUCUGCUAGCAAUGCUUAAGGAUGACGGUG